GACGAACGCUGGCGGCGUGCUUAACACAUGCAAGUCGAGCGGAGCGGCGAACGGGUGAGUAACGCGUGAGUAACUGCCCCCCUCUCUGGGAUAACAGUUGUAAACGGCUGCUAAUACCGGAUAUUGGGGGAUGAAUCGCGUCCUAUCAGCUUGUUGGGGGGGUAGUGGCCUACCAAGGCGACGACGGGUAGCCGGCCUGAGAGGGCGACCGGCGUCAUUGGGCUGAGAGACGGCCCAAACUGCUAUGGGAGGCAGCAGGGGGGAAUAUUGCACAAUGGGGGAAAUCCUGAUGCAGCAACGCGCGUGCGGGAUGACGGCAUUCGGGUUGGAAACCGCUUUCAGCCAUGACUCGGUAGUGGCAGAAGAAGCACCGGCUAACUACGUGCCAGCCGCCGCGGUAAUUC
rnacentral:rRNA from 1 species